rnacentral:misc_RNA from 1 species
CACUUGCACUGUCCUUAGAUGAAUCUUUGUCCCCUUCAAAACCGGCUCUUUCUGGGAUUGCCAACACCAAAUCUUGGUUUCAGUUCUAUGGUGAUGGGUUUGCCAUCCGGGUACCUCCUCAAUUUGAGGACAUAAUGGAGCCAGAGGAUUUCAAUGCGGGAUUGUCUUUAUAUGGGGAUAAGGCAAAGCCAAAGACUUUUGCAGCAC